UAGGGAAUCUUCGGCAAUGGGGGGAACCCUGACCGAGCAACGCCGCGUGAGUGAAGAAGGUUUUCGGAUCGUAAAGCUCUGUUGUUAAGGAAGAACGAGUGUGAGAAUGGAAAGUUCAUGCUGUGACGGUACUUAACCAGAAAGCCACGGCUAACUACGUGCCAGCAGCCGCGGUAAUACGUAGGUGGCAAGCGUUGUCCGGAAUUAUUGGGCGUAAAGCGCGCGCAGGUGGUUUAGAAAGUCUGAUGUGAAAGCCCACGGCUCAACCGUGGAGGGUCAUUGGAAACUAAUAAACUUGAGUGCAGGAGAGAAAAGUGGAAUUCCUAGUGUAGCGGUGAAAUGCGUAGAGAUUAGGAGGAACACCGGUGGCGAAAGCGGCUUUUUGGCCUGCAACUGACACUGGGGCGCGAAAGCGUGGGGAGCAAACAGG
rnacentral:rRNA from 1 species